rnacentral:rRNA from 1 species
UACGUAGGGUGCGAGCGUUAAUCGGAAUUACUGGGCGUAAAGCGUGCGCAGGCGGUUCGUUGUGUCGGCGGUGAAAGCCCCGGGCUUAACCUGGGAAUGGCCGUCGAAACUGGCGAACUGGAGUGUGGCAGAGGGGGGUGGAAUUCCGCGUGUAGCAGUGAAAUGCGUAGAGAUGCGGAGGAACACCGGUGGCGAAGGCGGUUCUCUGGGCAUUACCUGACGCUGAGGAGCGAAAGUGUGGGGAGCGAACAGG